GCAGGCAUGGAUUCUCUUCAGUAUGUCAAACAAAGGCUUAAGCUCAGCAGUGGCUGUAGUUUAAAAAGGACAGGUCCAACUUAUAUCCCCUAAAAGAUUUUGAAAAUCAUUUAAUGAUUUUUCAGUGUUGUGCUUAUCUUAAUUCCAAAGGUGUGUGGGUCACUGUUUGUGUCCUUAAUACACGACCCAAGUAAUUAAAUGAAGGCCGCACCUGUACCUUUCCUGGGGCCACCUUAAACCGUAAGUGAAAUCAGUUGCUGCAACACUUCUCGUAAGUAGGCUCUGUGCUUGUGGAAGAUGAGGACAUCGUCCAUACAAGGAACCAAAUAAACCUGACAUCAGAUGGAAUACCUUUGCAGGACAUCAGAUGGAAUACCUUUGCAGGACAUCAGAUGAUGGAAUACCUUUGCAGGACAUCAGAUGAUGGAAUACCUUUGCAGGACAUCAGAUGGAAUACCUUUGCAGGACAUCAGAUGAUGGAAUACCUUUGCAGGACAUCAGAUGGAAUACCUUUGCGUUUCCCUCUCUAGUCACCUCCGAAUUGUAACAACAGAAUUUGAACUAGUUCGAUUUUUUUUUUCUUGGACCCCAAGGAAGUUUCCCACGACUUCCCCGGUGCUUGAGAAGCCUUGUCCAUAUGACCUGACACCUUCUGCUAAGCUUGUUUUGUAAACUGUGCAGAGUUGAGGUACCUAAUAAGGAGACAUGCACGUGAGCUAAGACUGUAAAUCAAGUCCAGAGUUAGGUGGAACACAGGAACUGUGUGGCGAACUAAAAGCUGCCUGUCCAGUCUGAAGGCAGUAAGUACAGUGCAUUCAAAAAGAAAACCCCGCUGCUGAGCAGGCUGGUGCGCACCUGUCCUCCCAACAGCUCUGGAGACUGAAGAGAAGGAUCUCAUGAACUCAAGCAGCUGGUGAGGACCUGCCUCCAAUAACAACACAGUGCCAGCAACAAUACACCCAUGGGUGACUUGGUAACGCGCAGACCCCACUAGGUUCUCUGUAACUCAAAGGCUGGGGGAAAGGUUUUGCUUUCCUAUUUCUGGUGUGUCAUAUUUCAUUGAGGCACAGACAUUGACUAGUCUUCCCUGGAUAAAGAAAGAGCAUGAAAGAAAAUUGCGAACUACCGGAGGGUGGACAGAGAAGACCGAUGAUUAAUAGUAUUAGUGUUCUAUGGAAGCUGACGUUACUUUCAGCGUCAAAUCCUCCUUGUGAUCUCUCAUUGUGAUUAAUCUGCACUCAUUUUCCCAAGUUCCUUGGCAUCGCACCUAAUUUAUAUCUGUAUGGGAUACAGAUAUAUUUGUCUAUAUACACAGUAAUAUUUGUCUAGCCUCUCUGUAAGCUUCAGCUCUUUGGAUAAACUAAGCCAUACAAAAAAGUGCAGUAUUUUAUGAUGGUAUGUCUGGUCUCCCAAGAAAGCCCUUUUCCCAAGGUCAGGCAUUUAAACAAAAACUCCCAUUCCCUAGGAGGCUUGGAGAAAGUUCCUGCUUGGAGAAAAAAGAGUCAUUCUCCUUAUCUCUGGCAAGAAAAACUUGUGGUCCUUCCAUUAACACAUAACUGUGGUGCCUAUGCAUACAUAUAGUUCAUAUGUAUGCUAUAUAUAGCAUAUAUGCCUAUAUAUACAUACACAUAUGUAUACAUAGUAUUAAUAUGUAAUAGGUAUAUAUACUAUUAAUACUUUGGCAGUUACAGCCAACCCAUUGCAUUUAACAGUUUAACCAGCCAUCUCAUUAUAGGCUUAGCAUGUAGUAGAGUAAAAAUAUUUCUUCCCUUUAUGCUGUAAGUGCAAUAUUAAUUCAUUGAAAACAUACAAAAUUAAAAGUUAGUCCCUGAAAAAAGUGUAAUUAAUAAAAGUUAAAUGAAAAAAUUUUAAAAAGUUAGUUCCUCACUUACAGUAAUGACAUUUUAAUUACUCAAUAGCAAAUAUAGCUGGUGACUACUAUAUUAGUGUAAAAAUAAGAAGGCAUUUUCGUCCAGGGACUCUUCCAUUGGACAACAGUGCCACGGGUUGUUGUCCAAUGGAAUAAAUGCCACAAGGACAGAAUUAUGCCUUGUUUAACACUGUGCUCAGUGCCUGGAAUAAAGUAGUUAAUAAACGUUUAACCUAUCACAUUGAAAAAUAAAUAAAUAUUUUAAAAAGAGGAAAUUUUCUCAAAGAGAAUAUGAAUUUAAAAUGGAGCCAAACUGAAUUUUUAUAGAAUGCUUCCAGUAAUGGGAGACUGAUAUCCAAUGGGAUCAAUUCUCUAAGUGUUCCCAAUUAUUUGCUCCAGGAGGAAUGACUGGAUAUUUCAUGGAAUCAACAGAAAAUGGGCAGAGAGGUUAAAGGAUGUGCAGCAAUAAUCCCCCUGCCUUGUCCAGGGUUAACCCUGAGAUAAAGGGGAAGGGGAGAAGAAGCCAUCCCCUGCAUGAAAGCAGCUUAAGGCUGAACAUGAUAGCCUGGGUGUAGGGCUGGUCCCAGACCUCAUGGUGAAAGCUCCUAAGGUUAAGAGGAUUAAGUCUCUAAUUUGAGGCCACUAUAACUUGAUUCAGGAGGAAGGACAGCCCAGAACUGACCCAGGAAGAGGUAGCAUAGAAUGUCAGAGAAAAACUUAAAGAAAUGCUCAAUGUCCUUAGUCAUCAAAGAAAUGCAAAUCAAAAGGACCCUGAGAUUUCACCUUACACCCAUCAGAAUGGCUAAGAUAAAAAUUCAAGUGACAACACAUACUGGAGAGGAUGUGGAGAAAGGGGAACCCUCCUCCAUUUCUGGUGGAAAUGUAAACUUGUACAACCACUUUGGAUAUCAUUGUGGUGCUUUCUCAGACAAUUAGGAACAGUGCUACCUCAAGAUCCAGCUAUACCUCUACUAGGCAUAUAUCCAAAAUAUGUUCAAGUAUACAACAAGGACAUUUGUUCAACCAUGUUUGUAACAGCUUUAUUUGUACUAGCCAGAAGCUGGAAACAACUCAGAUGUCCCUCAAUUGAGGAAUGGAUACAGAAAUUGUGGUAUUUUACACAAUGGAACACUACUCAGCAAUUAAAAUCAAGGAAAUCAUGAAAUUUGAAGGCAAAUGGUGGGAACUAGAAAAGAUCAUCCUAAAUGAGGUAUCCCAGAAGCAGAAAGGCACACAUACUCACUUAUAAGUGGAAAUUAGACAUAUAAUAUAGGAUAAUCAUACUAAAAUCUUUACACCUAAAGAAGCUAAGCAAGAAGGAGGACCCUGGGUAAGAUGAUCAAUCCUCAUUCAGAAAGGCAAACAGGAUGGACAUUGGAAGAGAGAGAAAACAGGGGACAGGACAGGAGUCUACCACAGAGGGCCUCUGAAAGACCCCGCAGGGUAUGAAAGCAGAUGCUGAGACUUAUAGCCAAACUUUGGGCAGAGUGCAGGGAAUAUUAUGAAAGAAGGAAGAGAUAGAAAAACCUGGAGGGGACAAGAGCUCCUCAAGGAGAGCAACAGAACCAAGAAAUCUGGGCCCCGGUGUCUUUUCUGAGACUGAUACUCCAACCAAUGACCAUGCAUGGAGAUAACCUAGAACCCCUGCACAGAUGUAGCCCAUGACAGCUCAGUGUCCAUGUGGCUUCCAUAGUAAUGGGAAGAGGGACUGUCUCUGACAUGAACUCUGUGGCUGGGUCUUUGAUCACCUCCCCCUGACGGGGGAGCAACUUUACCAGGCCACAGAGGAAGACAAUGCAGACAGUCAUGAUGAGUCCUGAUAGACUAGGGUCAGAUGAAGGGGAGGGCCACCUCCCCUAUCAGUGGACUUGGGAAGCGGCUUAGAGGGGAUGAAGGAGGGAUGGGGGGGAUUGGGAGGGAAUGAGGAAAGGGACUACAGCUGGGAUACAAAGUGAAUAAACUGCAAUUAAUACAAAAAAAAUAAAAAAAAACAAGAAAUGAAAGAAAAAAAAGCAUCUUUCACUGCAGAUACAGUUACUGAUAAACCAUAGUGUUGUUCUCAGCAGGAGCUUUUUGCUGUUUCUUAUUCACUUGGAAUGAAGAACAUUCCAUCCUUUACCCCAAGAGUAUUGCCACAUCAGACUAUUUCCCCAGCACUUACUCACUAAAUUCCAACAAUGUUUCUCAAUAAGUCAACAAACAAUUUCUUCAUUGUUUGCACUUAUUACAGUCUGACUUUUGCCUUCAAGUUGUACAUUUUGUCUCUAACUGUUUCAAAGAAUUCUUAGCUAUAUUAACUCAAUGUUAGGUUUCAAAUCCAGGACAAGGUGCCUAUUUAACAUAUCAAAAUAGACCUGGGUACAGGUUUUCUAAGCAUUUCUCCAUUGCCUUUCUUUUACAGGAUAUAGCUGACAAAUCUUGCCCUUUAUCCUGAACUUUCCAGCCCAGAGGCUUGGCUCCUCUUCUGCCAAAGGCUCUUUCUUACGUAAUCCAAAGUUUUUAAAUACUUGUCCGCCCCGCCCCCCUUUUUAUUUUUUUUUUAUUUUUUUUAUUUAUUUAUUUAUUUAUUUUUGUACCUUUGGCCUCCUCACUACUAUACUUGGUUCCCCUCUCUUCCUUUUCUUUCAGCUCUUCCUUCAUGGCUCCCCACAUGGCUGCCCCUCAUGCCCUCUUGGGCUUCCCACCACAUGGGCAUCUCUUGCAUCUUUCACAGCCCUACCACUUGAGCAAUUGUGUUUACUAAGACACUUGCGCCUCGCCAGCUGCUUUCUCCUCUACCUGGCCUAACCAUUUGUCUCUCCUCUUCUAUGGCGUGUCACUUCAGAGCUCCCUGCUUUGUCUGCUUUUAUUAUGAAAGCCACACUGGUAUGGUAUGACAAGAAGCUUUCUUUCACCCUUCUGGGCCCUCAUCACAGGGAGAAGGACACUUCUUCUCUGUGGUUUGGAACAUUUGACAAGUCUCUCAGUCACUUGGGGAUGCCCCAGAAUGAAAUUCCUGUUGCCAUGAUACUUACCCUUCUGCUCCCUCAUGGCUCCUCUCAGUUCUUGGAACUUCCUCAUCUCCACCCUAGGACAUGCCUGCACACUCUAGAGCCUUGGACCUUUCUUUACCAUUCCCUCAGAGCUGGCUGUUCUAGCUGCCCUAGUGCCCUCCUGAAUCUCUAUGUUGGCAGUUUCCUUGCCUCCCCCCUCGGAAUUGCCUGCACAGUCCCACAGCUUCUCUAUGCCCUUAUGCUUUCUACCAGGUUGGAACUCUCCCUCGGGUGAAGUGAGAGGACCAGGCCUGAGUCACCAAAUCCCCAAAAGGUAUUUUUUUUAUUUUUUUGUACCUUUGGCCUCCUCACUACUAUACUUGGUUCUCCUCUCUUCCUUUUCCUUCAGCUCCCAAGAACUAGGCCAUAGGUCACCAAUUCCAGAAAUAAAAUUCCCUACCCAAAGAAUAGCCUGGAGGUAACCACAAGAAUGGGAAGGUAUCUUAUCUCAGUUGGGCAUCUGUGCUGGGCAGCCCACUGACCUUGUAGUAGAACAUUUCAUGGCACAGAAAAUACCUACCAUUCCUGAGGUCUAUAGAUAGCUCACCCAAUGUUAGUUAUGUUAGCUAGCCAAUAACUUUGUAACAAGCUUGCCCUUGCUGAAUUUCAUCCAAUCUUGUACCUCCUAAACUGGAAAUUCCCAGUUCUUGCUCAAACCCCAAUAAAAACCCUUCCAUGCAACUGUCCUGGGCUCUCCUCUCUGAUCCUUUGUGUUGGUGCCCAAGGUUAAGCCCAAAUAAAGCUCUUUGCUCUUGCAUACGUGGUCUAGCUCCUGGUGGUCUUUGGGGACCUUAAGAUCUGGGCAUAACAAUGAGUUCCUGCUUGCUCCUCCUUGUCCCUUUUGACUAUACUGUUCUCUGUCUCUUAGCUAGGUUCCCCCUUUUUCUGAUCCCAUUUAAACCUGAAAAUCUUUUUCUUGUCACUUCUUGCUUUCACGGAAGACAACCUUGGCAGUUUGGAAUAAACUUUUUCCCCCUUACACCCACAAA